AGAGGUAAAGCUCAGUGGCAGAGCACAUGCUUAGUAUGCAUAAGGUGCUGGGUUCAAUCCCCAGUACCUCCA
rnacentral:tRNA from 1 species